GAGACUACACGUCAUAAGAAAUAUUGAAACAAUUAUUUUUCAUAAAUAAACUUAAAACUUGAUUUUGUCAAAACGUAAUAAUUCUAUACAUAUGUAUAUAUAUUUUCUACGUUGAAUGUUGGUUAGCGAAAUCAAUCAAUCAAAGAAGAAAAUGCUGUAGCAUUGGCCAAUUUCACAGGACAAAAAGUGUACACGUGUUGUUGCGUAAUGGCAUCAUUACAAACUAUUUUGACGUUUUGGAACUCACAAUUUUUAAAAAAGCACCUACGCACCUAUACGUUAUACACGUUGGCUCUGAAAAUUAUCGAAACCAGACAAUUGCAUCAUAUGGCUCUCAUACUGCGUUUUGUUCAGAUCAAAAAAGCAUAGAAGGCCAUAACAUUGAAUACUGCACAUUCGCAUCUACAAAUAAACUUUGUCACCUAAAAUCAUCUAGAUCAGAGGACCAUUUCUUAUAGCCCCCAUGGAAUCGAUUUAUUAAGAUAUGAAGUUUCGGGUCAUAUAUAUGCGCCAAAAAAGCUUCUAGGGACAUGAAAUUGGGAUAUUAUAUUACUUAUUGGACACUCUUUCCUUUUCAGCCGUUGGCACCGUCAUGCAAACAGGGAAAAUAUGCCUAAAUUUUAUGGCAACAGAUUGGAAAGAGGUGAAACGAAGUUCAAGUGCGCAUCAUCUGGAGCUACCCAUCGUAGUGCUCAAAAAUUACAGACACACACUAAAACCAUUUGUUGAGAGUGCCAAAUGCAGCUUUGUAAAAUGUACUUUGCACCAUAUCAUUCAUAAAUUUUAUGUAAGAUAGAUCUUCUACUUCUUCAACAAUAUUAAAAAAUAAUAAUAUAUGAUUUAUGAAAUGUGUAACGA